rfam:Alloscardovia omnicolens F0580 genomic scaffold Scaffold75, whole genome shotgun sequence.
GCCCGCGUAGCUCAGCGGAUAGAGCAGGUGACUUCUAAUCUCCGUGUCGCAGGUUCGACUCCUGUCGUGGGCA